UACGUAGGGUGCGAGCGUUGCCCGGAUUUAUUGGGCGUAAAGGGCGCGUAGGCGGCCACGCACGUCCGUUGUGAAAUCGCUCGGCUCAACUGGGCGGGGUCAGCGGAUACGGAGUGGCUGGAGCAAGCUAGGGGGCAAUGGAAUUCCCGGUGUAGUGGUGGAAUGCGUAGAUAUCGGGAGGAACACCAGUGGCGAAGGCGGUUGCCUGGAGCUUUGCUGACGCUGAUGCGCGAAAGCGUGGGGAGCGAGCCGG
rnacentral:rRNA from 1 species